rnacentral:piRNA from 1 species
UGCUUUGACAACAGCAGUGGCUUUUACCU